rnacentral:pre_miRNA from 15 species
CUUGACUCUGACUGGCCACGGGGCUUUCCUUUGUGCUUGAUCUAACCAUGUGGUGGAACGAUAGAAACAGAACAUGGUUCUGUCAAGCACCGCGGAAAGCUCCGUGCUUUUCUGCAGCAUGGCC